rnacentral:rRNA from 1 species
CAGUCGCCACGGGAAUACGGAGGGGGCUAGCGUUGUUCGGAAUUACUGGGCGUAAAGCGCACGUAGGCGGCUUUGUAAGUUAGAGGUGAAAGCCUGGAGCUCAACUCCAGAAUUGCCUUUAAGACUGCAUCGCUUGAAUCGCGGAGAGGUGAGUGGAAUUCCGAGUGUAGAGGUGAAAUUCGUAGAUAUUCGGAAGAACACCAGUGGCGAAGGCGGCUCACUGGACGCGUAUUGACGCUGAGGUGCGAAAGCGUGGGGAGCAAACAGGAUUAGAUACCCCCGUAGUCCCUGUCUCUUAUAC